ACGUCAGCAGCAGUGGAACCGCUGUGGUCAACUAGUUAACUUCGCUCUUAUAAUUUUCAGUCAACGGAUUUUGCGUCACUUCGUUUUUCUCUCCAGGGCCAGUCUGUGAUGGACAUACUGUAGCUCAGUAACACGUGGCGCUCCUCAGCACCAGCUAGAACACAGCAGAGAUCCAACGUGGGGGACUGGUCUCUGGAAGACUGAUCCUGGCACCUGGGCCAUGACAGAUCCCAUCAUGGACUUCUUUGACGACCCCAACCUGUUUGUGGGAGGGCUGGACGGGUUGGCUGAGGAGGGCUUCCCCCCUGGACCCUCGCUGGUGGAUGAGCUCAACCUCAGCGCAGGCUUUGAGCCCCUACAGGUGGAGCCGAUAGGGGCAGGGAAACACCCCGGGAUGAUACCCACCUCCAUGCCCUCCUCCACCCAACAGAGCAUGGCUUAUGGGCAGCAGAUGGGGAAUUCUCCGGGCAUGAAGGCCCAGAACUCCAUGGGACAGCCCUUCGCUGGCUCUGAGGGUGUGGGUGGUGGAGGGAUGAUAGCAGCACAGCAUACCCAGUUCCAUGGACGCUCAAUUGGUCAGGCACCCCAAUCCAACGCGUUGUUUUCCAACAGCAGCCCCAUGUGGGGCAACCAGGACCAGAACGGGAACCUCUACCACUCAGUGCCCCAGCAACAGCAACAACUACAUCAACAACAGCAGCAGCAACUCCACAACCAACAGCAUCACCUCCGACAGCAACAGCCACAGCAGCAGCACCACCCUUGUCAACAACAACUUCAGCAGCAGCAACACCAGCUUCUGAACCAGCGGCAGCAGCAGCACCUUCAUCAACAGGUAGUGAACCCUCAGUCUCUAUCCCAGCAGCACCACAGCUUCCCCUUCCACCAGGCCAACCAACAGCCAGCAUCCCACAACCAGCAGCUUACCACCGGGGGGACCCAGUUCCACUCCAGGGCUGUGCCUAACUCAGGGGCUCUGGCCACAGCUAAUGUGGAAACCACCAAUGCCUCGCUGGCUGGAACCCCGCCACAGCAGGGUGGCUACCUGCUGGUGCAGGGGACUAAGGGGGCCUUUCCUGGGGUAGGGCCAACGGACUCUAGCAUGUCCUUCUCCAUGCAGACCUGCUCCCCCAUGGCUCACACCCUGUCCUCCUGCUCAGUGAGUUCCACCACCGCCUACCCUCCCUCCCAGUACUCCUUCCCUGGCCAGGGACAACCUGGCAUCUCCAGCCUGAGCCAGCCUCUCUCUUUAGCCCCAGUGUCCAUGAUCCCCACCACCACUCCCCUGCCCUCCUCAGUGCCUGAACUCUCUCUCGUGGGAGCUGGAUGUGCGUUUUCGUCUGCUCCAGGGAUGUCUCAGCAUCACCAGCCCGAGCAGGUCCCAGUCAGCCAGGCUGAGGACGAAUGUCCCUUCCGGGCUCUGCGCUGCUCCAGGCAGACCUUAGGGAACUACGACUCAUCUGAGAUGUUUGGCCAGGCCAUGAGCUGCUACCCCAGUGCAGUCAGCCAGCUCGUUCCAGACCAGCAGCAGAACUGUGGAUCUAACUUGGAAGUUACCAGACCUCCGGCCAGCACCACUACCACCAACGGCUACGUGUCUCUAGAGGUUAGCCUGGCAGGGCUGCAAGGGGAGGUGGAGGCCCAAGGAGGGGGCUUUGAAGGCUUGGAGGCUCCGGACCUGCUGGCUGAUGAGCUGCUGCCUCAGCUGGAGGCUGCCCUCAGUCAGCACGACCACCACGACCCCAACUGUUCCUGGACCAAUGGUGGGGAUGGAGAAAGGAAUGGAAAGGGAGAGGAAGAAGAAGAGAUGAAGGAGGAAGACAGGAUCUCCAUAUCCAUGGACUACAAGAUACAGCCUCCCAAGAACAAGAAUGCUAAUGGUCCCAACAGCCACACAGCAGCGCGGGUCCUCAGCCCCCCGAUGAAGAGCAGCUCAUCCUCCUCGUCUUCGUCCUCCUACAGCUCGUCGUUGGAGAAGCGGGCCCAGCGGAAGCUGGUGAAGGAGCAGAGGGAGCAGCAGCAGCAGCAACUGAUGGAGGAGGCUGGGGAGGACAAGCAGCAGAAGGCUAACAGGAUCAUCCAUGAGGCCAUUGCUAAGGCCCGGGAGAGAGGAGAGAAGAACAUCCCCAGGGUUAUGAGUCCAGAGAGCUUCCCCUCUGGGAGCUCCUCAGCCCACAGGAGAGAGAGGGACAGAGACAGAGACAGGGAGAGGGACCGAGGCAACAAGACCAGGACCAAGGCCUCCAAGAAGGCCUGCAUUGUGUCUUCGUCCAAGCCCAAACAGAAGGCCAAGAUCGGGAAAAUCGUCAUUAAAUUUGGAGGGAUGAAGAAGAAGAGGGAGACAGAGUCUUCAGAGGAGGGGUCUGAUGAAGAGCGUCCGCCUCGAAGAUCCUUUAAAGACGAUGACUCGACGCGUCGGUCGAACCGCCAGGUGAAGAGGAAGAAGUAUGCAGAGGAGGGAGAGGCCAGGGUGUCUGAUGAGGAGGUGAAGGUCAUGGUUAAAACCAAGAAGACCAGCACUGCUGCAGCACGCAAAGAGCCAGCACAGCAGCUGUUUGUGGAAAACCCCAGUGAGGAGGAUGCUGCGGUUGUUGAUAAGAUCAUGUCAUCUCGAAUAGUCAAGAACGAGGUCGCUCCAGGAGUUAUCGUAGAAGUGGAGGAGUUCUUUGUAAAAUACAAAAACUACUCCUACCUCCACUGUGAGUGGGCCGUAGAGCAGCAGCUGGAGAAAGACAAGAGGAUUCAGCAGAAGAUCAAACGUUUCAAGAUUAAACAGGCACAGAGAGCCCACUUCUUUGCAGAUAUGGAGGAGGAUCCCUUUAACCCUGAUUAUGUGGAGGUAGACAGAGUACUGGAGGUGUCCUAUUGUGAAGACAAGGACACAGGAGAGGUGGUGUACUACCUGGUGAAGUGGUGCUCUCUGCCCUAUGAAGACAGUACAUGGGAACUGAAGGGGGAUGUGGACCAGAGUAAAAUAGAGGAGUUUGAGCUGCUGCAGGCAGCAAGGCCAGACUCCCGCAGGAUGGAGCGUCCCCCAGCCAGCCUGUGGAAGAAGAGGGAUGAGUCGAGGGAGUACAGGAACAGUAACGUCCUCAGGGACUACCAGCUGGAGGGAGUCAACUGGCUCCUCUUCAACUGGUACAACAGACGGAACUGUAUCCUGGCAGAUGAGAUGGGUCUGGGGAAGACCAUCCAGUCCAUCACGUUUCUGGAGGAGAUCUGGCGUGUGGGCAUCAGGGGCCCCUUCCUCAUCAUCGCCCCCCUCUCCACCAUCGCCAACUGGGAGAGGGAGUUCAGAACGUGGACCCACCUCAACGUCAUUGUCUACCACGGCUCCAUGGUCAGCAGGCAGAUGCUGCAGCAGUACGAGAUGUACUCCAGAGACACACAGGGUCGUGUGGUGCGGGGAGCCUACAAGUUCCACGCCCUCAUCACCACCUUUGAGAUGAUCCUGGGCGGCUGUCCAGAGCUCAACGCCAUCGAGUGGCGCUGCGUCAUCAUUGACGAGGCCCAUCGCCUCAAGAACAAGAACUGCAAGCUGCUAGAGGGCUUCAAGCUCAUGAAUCUGGAACACAAAGCUCUCCUGACAGGGACCCCCCUCCAGAACACAGUAGAGGAGCUGUUCAGUCUGCUGCACUUCCUGGAGCCUCAAAGCUUCCCCUCAGAGAAUACCUUCAUGCUGGAGUUUGGAGACCUCAAGACUGAGGAGCAGGUCCAGAAGUUGCAGGCCAUCCUGAAGCCCAUGAUGCUGCGUCGCCUCAAGGAGGACGUGGAGAAGAAGCUGGCUCCUAAGGAGGAAACCAUCAUUGAGGUGGAGCUGACCAACAUCCAGAAGAAGUACUACAGAGCCAUCCUAGAGAAGAACUUCUCCUUCCUGUCUAAAGGAGUCGGCCAGGCCAACGUCCCCAACCUGGUCAACACCAUGAUGGAGCUGAGGAAGUGUUGCAACCACCCCUACCUCAUUAAAGGUGCUGAGGAGAAGAUCUUGGAGGACUUCCGAGAGGUGUACAGCCCUGUUGCCUUUGAUUUCCACCUGCAGGCCAUGGUGCAGUCGGCUGGUAAACUGGUCCUCAUAGACAAGCUGCUGCCCAAGAUGAAGGCCGGGGGACACAAGGUCCUCAUCUUCUCCCAGAUGGUCCGCUGUCUGGAUAUCCUGGAGGACUACCUCAUCCAGAGAAGGUACCUGUAUGAGCGUAUCGAUGGCAGAGUGAGAGGUAACCUGCGUCAGGCAGCUAUAGACCGUUUCAGCAAACCAGACUCGGACCGCUUUGUGUUCCUGUUGUGUACCCGGGCUGGAGGUCUGGGCAUCAACUUGACUGCUGCUGACACCUGUAUUAUCUUUGACUCAGACUGGAACCCACAGAACGACCUGCAGGCCCAGGCUCGCUGCCAUAGGAUUGGUCAGAACAAGGCGGUGAAGGUGUACCGUCUGAUCACCAGGAACUCUUACGAGCGGGAGAUGUUUGACCGGGCCAGCCUCAAACUGGGCCUGGACAAGGCUGUGCUGCAGAGCAUGAGUGGCAGGGAGAACAGCUUGCCAGGUGGAGGGCCGACCCAGCAGCAGCUGUCUAAGAAGGAGAUUGAGGACCUGCUGAGGAAAGGGGCGUAUGGAGCUCUGAUGGACGAUGAGGAUGAGGGGGCCAAGUUCUGUGAGGAGGACAUCGACCAGAUCCUUCAACGCAGGACCAAGACCAUCACCAUCGAGUCUGAGGGACGGGGAUCUACCUUUGCCAAGGCCAGUUUUGUGGCAUCCGGAAACCGCACAGACAUUUCUCUGGACGACCCCAACUUCUGGGACAAGUGGGCCAAGAAGGCUGAGAUUGACAUGGACACUGCCAAUGGCAGAAACAGCCUGGUAAUUGACACUCCGAGGGUGAGGAAGCAGACCCGACCCUUCAGUGCCACUAAGGACGAGCUGGCAGAGCUGUCAGAGGGGGAGAGUGACAACGAGGACAAGCCCAAGCUCCGCCGGCCCCACGACCGCCUCAACAGCUACGGCAGGACAGAGUGCUUCAGAGUGGAGAAGAACCUACUAGUAUACGGGUGGGGUCGUUGGAAGGAUAUCCUGCUCCAUGGUCGUUUUAAGAAGCAGCUGACAGAGCGUGAUGUAGAGUCUAUCUGUAGAGCCCUUCUGGCCUACUGUCUGGUUCACUACCGCGGUGAUGACAAGAUCAAGAGCUUCAUGUGGGACCUGAUCGCCCCCUCCGAGGACGGACAGACCAAGGAACUACAGAACCACCUGGGUCUGUCGACCCCGGUCCCCAGAGGCAGGAAGGGGAAGAAGAUGAAGACUCAAUCCAGCACAUUUGACAUCCAGAAGGCUGAGUGGAUCAGGAAGCACAACCCAGAACACAUGCUGCAGGACGAGGGAUACAAGAAGCACCUCAAACACCACUGCAACAAGGUGUUGCUGCGGGUUAGAAUGCUCUACUACCUGAAACAAGAGGUGAUGGGAAGCCAGUCACAGAAGAUACUGGACGGCGUGGACUCCAGUGAGAUCAAGAUCUGGGUUCCUGAGCCCGACAGCUCUGAGCUACCAGCCCUGUGGUGGGACAACAUCUCUGACAAGUGUCUGCUGUUGGGGGUCUACAAGCACGGUUAUGAGAAGUAUAACACAGUCCGUGCAGACCCUGCCCUCUGCUUCCUAGAGCGGGUGGGCCGGCCAGACGAGAAGGCCAUCGCUGCUGAACAGAGAGCCAAUGACUUCAUGGAUGGGGACGUAGAUGACCCAGAAUACAAGCCUGCCCCAGCCUUGCUGAAGGACGAUAUGGAGGAUGACGCCUCCUCUCCUGGAGACCUGGUUGUCACAGACAACCCUGGAGAGGGUGCUCCAGUGAUGAUGGAGGGGUUAGGUGGUGGAGGAGGAGGAGACGCAGCCUACUGGCCCUCCUCCUCAGUACUAACAGCCAGACUGAGACGUCUGAUCACAGCCUCUCAGCGCUACACCAAGUCCAGACAGAUCCUCCACAUCCACCAGACCCAGCACACCACCCAUGUCACGCCCUCACUGUGUCCCCUGCCACCCACCCUCAAUGACACUAUCAACCCCAAGAUGGCCGCCAAGAUAGAACGCCAGCAGAGAUGGACGAGGCGAGAGGAAGCUGAUUUUUACCGUGUGGUGUCUACCUUUGGUGUGGUGUUUGACCCAGACCUGGGCCGUUUCGACUGGACCAAGUUCAGAGCCAUGGCUCGGCUGCACAAAAAGACAGACGAGAGUCUGCAGAAGUACCUGUGGGCCUUCACUGCCAUGUGCAGGAGAGUGUGUCGCCUGCCACCAAGAGAAGGAGACACAGCGGUGGACCCCUCUCUGUCCAUUCAGCCCAUCACAGAGGAGCGUGCAUCUCGUACCCUCUACAGAGUAGAGCUGCUACGCCAGGUCAGGGAACAGGUCCUGCGCCACCCCUUGCUCUAUGAGCGCCUGCCCCUGUGCCAGCUGGGCUCGGACCUGCCCGUGUGGUGGGAGACCAGUACCCACGACAGAGACCUCCUAAUUGGGGCCGCCAAGCACGGCGUCAGCCGCACAGACUACCACAUCCUCCGAGACCCAGAGCUCUGCUUCAUGGCUGCUCAGCGCAACUACAGCCAGAAUAAAGGAGUCCAACUGCCAUCCCAGACCCCUACUCCGCUCCUGAACCCCCAGUACCAGGCUAGUAGAGACCCAGCCUUGGCAGAGUGCCCUGUGCCUGCCCAGAGGGAGAGGGAGGAAAUCCCGGGGGCAGUGCCCAAAGAAGAACCUUUCUCGGAGGGGGAGGAGCGCAUGGAGAGAGGGGGUCAGGUGGAGGGGGAGAGGUGGAGUCCCCAGCCUGCCCCUCUCACCCCUACAGGGAUAGAGGAGAAGCCUGAUCUGGGGGUGGUGAAAGGAGAGAACGAGAGCCACAUGGUGGCGGCACGGACCAAGCCACUCACACCCAACUCAGCCGCCAGGAAAGAGAAGAAAGCCAAUAAAAGAAGUCGAAGAGAGGCCAGACGAGCCGCCUCCGCAGCAUCAGACUCCGACUCGGAUGGCUCCUCCUCCAGCUCUUCAUCACGAUCUUCUUCAUCAUCGUCAUCGUCGUCCUCUUCCUCCUCACGCUCCGGAUCCAGCUCCUCUUCAUCUUCAUCCUGCUCAUCAGGCUCCUCAUCUUCCUCUUCCUCAUCUUCAUCUUCCUCUGUUAACAGUGGGAGUGAGGGAGAGGAAGGAAAGAUCAAGGUCCCGACAGUGGCCAUCGUGAAGGGAUUCGACGAAGACAGUGUGGCGUCUCUCAGCACCACUCAGGAUGAGAUGCAGGACAGUCACGUGACAGAGAACGGCAGCAACAACUCACACCACCACCCCUUCCAGGGAGGAUACAUGCUGGCUGCAUCCUACUGGCCCAAGGACCGUGUGAUGAUCAACCGUCUGGACAGUAUCUGCCAAGCAGUGCUGAAGGGGAAGUGGCCGGGGGCCCGGCGGUCGUACGAGGCAGGAGGGGCCGUAGCCUCCUUCUACACCACCAAGUUGCUGGACAAUGCAGCUGCUGCCAACAACAGCAGCAACCUCUGCUCAGCUUCCGCCUCGGCCUCAGAGGACCCCUCUGCCUCCCCUCAGGGUUCAAAGGUGAAGAAGCAUGUUGCAGGAGAAAAGGAGUUCUCAGUGAAAAUGAAUGAACAGGAGGGGGGUCUGAAGCUGACCUUCCAGAAGCAGGGGGCCGGCCAGCCCCUGAAGAGGCCCCUGGAGCCUGAGGAGGGGCCCCUGAGCCAGCAGCAGUACCUUACAAGGCUUCAUGAGCUCCAGAGUGCCUCAGACACCAGUCUGGCUGACUUCACCAAGCCCCAGGCUGCCAGCUUCCCACAGGACUCUACAGGUCUGGCAGGUCAGAUGAAGCUGAAUGGAGGUAUGGACGGCCAGCCGGUGGUGAAGAGAAGGAGAGGAAGGAGGAAGAAUGUGGAGGGGAUGGACCUGCUCUUUAUGAACAGGAACAGAGGACCAGCCGUGCCUGAAAGCGUGCCCCCGGCUUGGGGUGGUAUGAGUCAGGCUGGCACUGGGCUGUCUAUUGCCUCAGGGCAGGGUAACCCCCUAGGGGCCCAGGGCCCUAUGGACACAGAGAGCAGGGUCUCUGUCAUCAACCUGAAAGAUGGGACCCGUCUGGCCGGAGACGAUGCCCCCAGGAGGAGGGAGCUGGAGCUGUGGCUCAAAGAACACCCAGGCUUUGUGGCUGACACAGGGGCCUUCAUCCCUGGAGUGAAUAAGAGGCAGCUGGAGCAGUUCCAGCAGGAUGGUAGACCCAAGCAGAAGAGGCAUCGCUGCAGGAAUCCCAACAAGAUCGAUGUCAACAGUCUGACAGGAGAGGAGAGGGUCCAGAUCAUCAACAGGAGAAAUGCACGCAAGGUUGGUGGGGCCUUCGCCCCCCCUCUAAAGGACCUGUGUCGGUUCCUUCAGGAGAACCCAGAGUACGGGGUUCCACCAGAGUGGGCCGACGUCGUCAAGCAGUCGGGCUACCUUCCAGAGAGCAUGUUUGACCGGAUCCUGACAGGACCCAUCGUACCAGAGGAGGUGAGUCGGCGUGGACGGAGGCCCAAGAGCGCCCUGGCCAAAGCUGCAGCUACAGCCAACCAGGGUGCCCCAUCCCUGGGCCUCAACCCCCUGCUGGCCAACGGCCUCCUCUCUGGCAUGGAUCUAUCUAGUCUACAGGCCUUCCAGCAGAACCUCCAAAGUCUCCAGUCACUGCAGCUCACUGCCGGCCUCAUGGGCCUGCCCACCGAUGCUAACAACCUGGCCGCCAUGUUUCCCAUGAUGCUCUCUGGCAUGGCUGGGCUUCCCAACCUCCUGAGCAUGGGGGGUCUGCUGGGGAAGCCCCCACAGGACGCCAUGGGGGGAGCUGAGCAGAGGAAGAGGAAGAAGGGAAGCAGAGAAGGAGGAGGAGGGGAGCCCUCGUCUGCCUCCUCCAAAGCCCCCUCCUCCAACUCCCACGGCCCCUCCCACACCUCGGACACCAAAGGUGAAAGGACAGAAGAUCAAAGCAGGGACGGAGAUGGCCGCAUCCCCAGUGUCCAUUCCCCCUCUAGUUCCUCUGCCACCACCUCCAUCACCACCCCACUAAGUGCUUCUGCUGCCCAGGCAGCCUCCAGUCACCCUCUGUCUCUUAACCCCUUGUUACUCUCCAGUAUGCUUUACCCAGGGAUGCUUCUCACUCCAGGCCUUAACCUUCCUGUGUCCACCACACAGCCACCACACAGUGACUCAAACAGUGACCACAAGCCCACUAAGACCUCUAAGACCGCCCCCUCAAAACCUCUGUCGCCAAGGAGAACACCAGAGUGUCAGGAAGAGGAGGGUCUUAGUGACAAGAGGGAGGAGUCAUGGGAACACAAGGAGGAGAACAGUGGUCCAGAAGGCUCGGGGAAGGCGGAGUCAUCUUCUUCAUCAGAGUCUGGGAGCUCUUCUUCAUCAUCUGAUGGGUCAUCAGACUCCAGUGAUGAAGACUGAGUCUAAUGAAUAUAUAAAUAUAUUUAUGUAUCUAUUAGAAAUGUACACACAUACAGUACCAGCCAAAAGUUUGGACACACCUACUCAUUCAAGGGGUUUUCUUUAUUUUUUACUAUUUUCUGCAUUGUAGAAUAAUAGUGAAGACAUCAAACAUAUGAAAUAACACAUAGGGAAUCAUGUAGUAACCAAAAAAGUGUUCAACAAAUUUUAGAUUCUUCAAAGUAGCCACCCUUUACCUUGAUGACAGCUUUGCACACUCUUGGCAUUCUCUCAACCAGCUUCUCCUGGAAUGCUUUUCCAACAGUUGGAGGAGUUGUUGGCUGCUUUUCCUUCACUCUGCGGUCCAACUCAUCCCAAACCAUCUCAAUUGGGUUAGGUCAGGUGGUUGUGGAGGCCAGGUCAUCUGAUGCAGCACUCCAUCACUCUCCUUGGUCAAAUAGCCCUUACACAGCCAGGAGGUGUAUUUUGGGUCAUGGUCCUGUUGAAAAACAAAUAAUAGUCCCACUAAAUGCAAACCAGAUGGGAUGGCGUAUCACUGCAGAAUGCUGUGGUAUCCAUGCUGGUUAAGUGUGCCUUGAAUUCUAAAUAAAUCACAGACAGUGUCACCAGCAAAGCACCCCCACUCCAUCACACCUCCUCUUCCAUGCUUUACGGUGGGGACCACACAUGCAGAGAUUAUCUCAUCAGACCAAAGGACAGAUUUCCAUUGCUCGUGUUUCUUGGCCUAAGCAAGUCUCUUCUUCUUACUGGUGUCCUUUAGUAGUGGUUUCUUUGCAGCAAUUUGACCAUGAAUACCUGAUUAAGUCUCCUCUGAACAGUUGAUGUUGAGAUGUGUCUGAAGGAAGCAUUCAUUUGGGCUCUGAUCUGAGGCGUAGUUAACUCUAAUGAACGUAUCCUCUGCAGCUGAGGUAACUAUGUUUCUUCCUUUCCUCUGGCGGUCCUCACGAGAGCCAGCUUCAUCAUAUCGCUUAAUGGUUUUUGCCACUGCACUUAAAGAAACUUUCCAAGUUCUUGAAAAUGUCCAUAUUGACUGACCUUCAUGUCUUAAAGUAAUGAUGGACUGUCAUUUCUCUUUGCUCAUUUGAGCUGUUCCACCCCUACCAUGUCACAACACAACUGUUUGGCUCGAACGAAUUACAAAGAAAGAAAUUCCACAAAUGAACUUUUAACAAGGCACACCUGUUAAUUGAAAUGCAUUCCAGGGGACUACCUCAUGAAGGUGGUUGAGAGAAUAACAAGAGUGUGCAAAGCUGUCAUCAAGGCAAAGGGUGGCUACUUUGAAGAAUCUCCAAAUAUAAAAUAUAUUUUGAUUUGUUUAACAAUUCUUUUGGUUACUACUUGAUUCCAUAUGUGUUAUUUCAUAGUUUUGAUGUCUUAGUAAUAGUAAAAAUAAAGAAAAACCCUGGAAUGAGAAGGUGUGUCCAAACUUUUGACCUGUACUGUAUAUAUUACACAUAUAUAUGGAUUUCCCUGCACUUACAUUGUGAUUUCUUUUCAUGUAAAUACAGAAAACGAACUAAAAUGUUGUGUGAUAAAGACUACAAAAAUGAGACAAGAAGAACCAUGACCUAGGAGAAACUGAAAUGAACUUUCAGUGUUUGUUCAAAAAGAUUUCGCACCAAAGCACAUUCAUCUCUAGGAGACUAUUGCUUGUACAGAUGAACGUGGUACCUUCAGGCGUUUGGAAAUUGCUCCCAAGGAUGAACCAGACUUGUGGAGGUCUACAGUUCUUUUUCUGAGGUCUUGGCUGAUUUCUUUUGAUUUUCCCAUGAUGUCAAGCAAAGAGGCACUGAGAUUGAAGGUAGGCCUUGAAGUACAUCCACAGGUACACCUUCAAUUGCCUCAAAUUAUGUCAAUUAGCCUAUCAGAAGCUUCUAAAGCCAUGACAUCAUUUUCGGGAAUUUUCCAAGCUGUUUAAAGGCACAGUCAGUUUAGUGUAUGUUAACUUCUGACUCUCAACAAUUGUUGGAAAAAUUACAUGUGUCAUGCACAAAGUAGAUGUCCUAACCGACUUGCCAAAACUAUAGUUUGUUAACAAGAAAUGUGUGGAGUGGUUGAAAAACGAGUUUUAAUGACUCCAACCUAAGUGUAUGU